rnacentral:rRNA from 1 species
AGUGAACGCUGGCGGUAGGCCUAACACAUGCAAGUCGAACGGCAGCACAGUAAGAGCUUGCUCUUACGGGUGGCGAGUGGCGGACGGGUGAGGAAUACAUCGGAAUCUACUUUUUCGUGGGGGUUAACGUAGGGAAACUUACGCUAAUACCGCAUACGACCUACGGGUGAAAGCAGGGGAUCUUCGGACCUUGCGCGAUUGAAUGAGCCGAUGUCGGAUUAGCUAGUUGGCGGGGUAAAGGCCCACCAAGGCGACGAUCCGUAGCUGGUCUGAGAGGAUGAUCAGCCACACUGGAACUGAGACACGGUCCAGAGGCCUACGGGAGGCAGCAGUGUGGAAUAUUGGACAAUAGGCGCAAGUCUGACCCAGCCAUACCGCGUGGGUGAAGAAGGCGUUCGGGUUGUAAAGCCCUCUUGUUGGGAAAGAAAAGCAGCAGGUUAAUACCCCGCUGUUUUGACGGUACCGAAAGAAUAAGCACCGGCUAACUUCGUG